CCUACGGGAGGCAGCAGUGGGGAAUUUUGGACAAUGGGCGCAAGCCUGAUCCAGCCAUGCCGCGUGCGGGAAGAAGGCCUUCGGGUUGUAAACCGCUUUUGUCAGGGAAGAAAUCCUUUGAGCUAAUACCUCGGGGGGAUGACGGUACCUGAAGAAUAAGCACCGGCUAACUACGUGCCAGCAGCCGCGGUAAUACGUAGGGUGCGAGCGUUAAUCGGAAUUACUGGGCGUAAAGCGUGCGCAGGCGGUCUUGCAAGACAGGUGUGAAAUCCCCGGGCUUAACCUGGGAACUGCACUUGUGACUGCAAGGCUGGAGUACGGCAGAGGGGGAUGGAAUUCCGCGUGUAGCAGUGAAAUGCGUAGAUAUGCGGAGGAACACCGAUGGCGAAGGCAAUCCCCUGGGCCUGUACUGACGCUCAUGCACGAAAGCGUGGGGAGCAAACAGGAUUAGAUACCCUGGUAGUCCACGCCCUAAACGAUGUCAACUGGUUGUUGGACGGCUUGCUGUUCAGUAACGAAGCUAACGCGUGAAGUUGACCGCCUGGGGAGUACGGCCGCAAGGUUGAAACUCAAAUGAAUUGACGG
rnacentral:rRNA from 1 species